rnacentral:rRNA from 1 species
GAUGAACGCUAGCGGCAGGCUUAACACAUGCAAGUCGAGGGGUAUUGGUUUUCGGACCAAGAGACCGGCGCACGGGUGCGUAACGCAUAUGCAAUCUACCUUUUGCAGAGGGAUAGCCCCAGAGAAAUUUGGAUUAAUACCUCAUAGUAUAGUACUUUGGCAUCAAGGAACUAUUAAAGUCACAACGGCAAAAGAUGAGCAUGCGUCCCAUUAGCUAGUUGGUAAGGUAACGGCUUACCAAGGCUACGAUGGGUAGGGUCCUGAGAGGGAGGUCCCCCACACUGGUACUGAGACACGGACCAGACUCCUACGGGAGGCAGCAGUGAGGAAUAUUGGACAAUGGGCGCAAGCCUGAUCCAGCCAUGCCGCGUGCAGGAUGACGGUCCUAUGGAUUGUAAACUGCUUUUUAANACAGGAAGAAACACUCCGACGUGUCGGAGUCUUGACGGUACUGUAAGAAUAAGGAUCGGACUAACUCCGUGCC